rnacentral:rRNA from 1 species
UUGGAGGGCAAGUCUGGUGCCCGCAGCCGCGGUAAUUCCAGCUCCAAUAGCGUAUAUUAAAGUUGUUGCAGUUAAAAAGCUCGUAGUUGAACUUCGGGGUUUACCCAUUGGUCAGGCUUAAUUGUCUGUACUGGUGAGAUGAAUCUCUACCUUCUGAGGAACUUUCAUGCCAUUUAUUUGGUGUGAUGGGAAAUCAGGACUGUUACUUUGAAAAAAUUAGAGUGUUUAAAGCAGGCUAACGUCUGAAUACAUUAGCAUGGAAUAAUAAAAUAGGACGGUGGUCCUGUUUUGUUGGUUUCUGAAUCACCGUAAUGAUUAAUAGGGAUAGUUGGGGGCAUUAGUAUUCAAUUGUCAGAGGUGAAAUUCUUGGAUUUAUUGAAGACUAACUUCUGCGAAAGCAUUUGCCAAGGAUGUUUUCAUUAAUCAAGAACGAAAGUUAGGGGAUCGAAGACGAUCAGAUACCGUCGUAGUCUUAACCAUAAACUAUGCCGACUAGGGAUCGGACGAUGUUAAAUUUUAUUGACUCGUUCGGCGCCUUACGGGAAAC